rnacentral:misc_RNA from 1 species
AAGUCGUAACAAGGUUUCCGUAGGUGAACCUGCGGAAGGAUCAUUAAUGAAUUAAUUGACGGGGUUGUCGCUGGCCUUCACGGGCAUUGUGCACGCCUUGAUCACAUUCAUCCAUUCUUACACCAAUGUGCACUCUUCAUAGGUUGGCUUACUUCAAAGGGUUGUUCUCGGAUGACCUGGGCCUUUCUAUGCUUUUAUACAAACAACUUUGUCUUUGAAUGUCUUUAUUGCGAAUAUAUAACGCAUUGAAAUACAACUUUCAGCAACGGAUCUCUUGGCUCUC